AUUGAACGCUGGCGGCAGGCCUAACACAUGCAAGUCGAGCGAACCUAGCUUGCUAGGUGAGCGGCGAACGGGUGAGUAACGCGUAGGAAUCUGCCUGGUAGUGGGGGACAACGUUCCGAAAGGAACGCUAAUACCGCAUACGCCCUACGGGGGAAAGCAGGGGAUCUUCGGACCUUGCGCUAGCAGAUGAGCCUGCGUCGGAUUAGCUAGUUGGUAGGGUAAAGGCCUACCAAGGCGCCGAUCCGGAACGGGUCUGAGAGGAUGCUCAGUCACACCGGAACGGAGGCCCGGUCCGGACUCCUGCGGGGGGCAGCAGUGGGGAAUAUUGGACGAUGGGGGCAACCCUGAUCCAGCCAUGCCGCGUGUGGGAAGAAGGCCUUCGGGUUGUAAAGCACUUUAGGUCGGGAGGAAGGUUCGCUGGCUAAUAUCCAGCGGAAUUGACGUUACCGACAGAAUAAGCACCGGCUAACUCCGUGCCAGCAGCCGCCGUAA
rnacentral:rRNA from 1 species